AUUGAACGCUGGCGGCGUGCCUAAUACAUGCAAGUCGAACGAUGAAGUCCUCGCUUGCUAGGCGGGAUUAGUGGCGCACGGGUGUGAAGUAUAUAGUUAAUCUGCCCUACACAGGGUAACACCAGUUAGAAACGGCUGCUAAUACCUCAUACUCCUAUUUGACAUAAGUUAAAUAGAAAAAGUCUUUUCGUUGUAGGAUGAGACUAUAUCGUAUCAGCUAGUUGGUAAGGUAAUGUCUUACCAAGGCUAUGACGCGUAACUGGUCUGAGAGGAUGAUCAGUCACAUUGGAACUGAGACACGGUCCAAACUCCUACGGGAGGCAGCAGUAAGGAAUAUUGCGCAAUGGGGGAAACCCUGACGCAGCAACGCCGCGUGGAGGAUGACACUUUUCGGAGAGUAAACUCCUUUUAUCAGGAAAGAAUAAUGACGGUACCUGAUGAAUAAGCACCGGCUAACUCCGUG
rnacentral:rRNA from 1 species